GUGUCAGCCGCCGCGGUAAUACGAACUGUGCAAACGUUAUUCGGAAUCACUGGGCUUAAAGGGUGCGUAGGCGGCUUGUUAAGUAGGGUGUGAAAUCCCCCGGCUCAACCGGGGAAUUGCGCCCUAAACUGGCGAGCUGGAGUGAGAUAGGGGUGUGUGGAACUUCCAGUGGAGCGGUGAAAUGUGUUGAUAUUGGAAGGAACGCCAGUGGCGAAAGCGACACACUGGGUCUCAACUGACGCUGAGGCACGAAAGCCAGGGGAGCAAACGGGAUUAGAAACCCUAGUAGUCC
rnacentral:rRNA from 1 species